AGAAAAAGAAGUCAUUUUGUACUACUACUGCCCACAUGAUGCCACAGUACCCCAUUAUCUCCUUCCCUUUCUUUCUUCCCCUACAUCAUAUUUUCUCUAUCUGUCAAAAGUUUCGUUUCUUUAAUGGGGUUUUGUGUAUGUUCUGUCCACUGCAUGUAACAUCAUACUCAGAGAAAAAAAGUAAAAGAUCUUUUUCCCUUACUACUACUACUACUAGCACUAGAGUUUAGGGUAUGGUGUAUUCCAACACAAUUCAGAUACACAUAAAACCCUAAUGGCCGUGAGUAGUGGAUUCAAAAUUUAAACGUUGUGAGUUUAAGUCCGAACAUGAAUGUUCUAGGUUUUUUUCUUCUUUGGGAUUGUGUUUUGGUUUUAGAUCUGACUUUAGCAUGGUAAUGUUUGUGGUUGGGAGAGAAGCAAAUACUAAGAGAAGGGGGGGACAAGGAGAAUCAAGACUGACAGAAGAGAGUGAGCACACGCAGGCAAUUGUAUAGAUAUUAUAUUACUGUCAUUUGCGUGUGCUCACUUCUCUUGCUGUCAUAUCUCUCUAUAUACUUUUCCCCCAUUCUUUUUUGCUUUGCUUCCACCACUCAACCAGCCAACACUUGUUCAAACUGCAGGGGCGGAUGCAACGUAGGAUUGCCGGGUUCAACUGAAUCAGUGCUUUUGAUGCGAAACAUAAAUUUAUAGACUGAAAGAAGCUGAAGUUUAUCCCAAAAAAAAAUAGAAGAAUCAGAACAGUUAUCAGAUCAGGUAAGAAUCUUAGACUUUUGAGGUUUAGGGGUUUUAUGAUAGUAAAAUCUCUGUUCUUUUUAAUGAUUUUUACCAAUUAAAUAUUGUACUAAGCGUGUCUUUUCAUGUACUUAUUACUCCAUAUCUCUGAUGAAGAGGACGAAUGUUAGAUUUGGGAGGUACGCUUGUUACUGUUCUGUCUUAACGGAUAACUAAUUCUUUUUUACGGCUUCAAUACAUUUAUUUGCAAAAAUCGAGAAAUUUAUUGAAAAAAUAAUUCACUUUUAUGAUUUUAACAGAAAACUUUCUUCUUUCUACCUUUUCUAGCUCAUUGAUCUAUUUCUUGAUUUUGCUCUUGACAAUCUUGCUUUAUUUUUCCGGCUGUAUUUUUCUUUCCUUUCUCUUUUCGUCUUCUUGAGACUAGGGUCUAUCGGCAACCGCCUCGGAUAGGGGUAGAACGUUAGAGUUAAGGUCUGCGUACACACUAGCCUCCCCAGACCCUACUUAUGGAAUUUUACUGGAUUCGUAGUAAUCUGGGACUUAAAAAUGAGCACAAAGUUCUCAGAUAAAAAGGAGGAAUCUUUAAAAAUGUUUUUAUUCUUAAAGAUAUUCUAUUAAGAUGAUGAAUCUCGGAUUUGUUUUUUGAGUAUGAGGGAUUUGGUUAAAUUUAUGUGGGUUCUUGUUAAUAUUUUAUGUAGGUUUGUUGACACGCUAAUUUCUCUUUAAUUUUGGUUAUGAUAUGCUUUUUAAUUUCAUAGUUGCGGAUUAGGAAGAAAAUUAGAACUUUGAAUAUGACUUGUGUAUUUGAUAAGAUUUUGCUUCCUUUUCUGGCUGAGGUAGGCAUCCAGUUUUUGCUAUGAAGUUUGGAGAAAGUUACAGCCACUAUUGCCUGCCGGUGCAGCUUUUCUUUUUCUUCUUUUGAUUAGCGGGUAUUUUCUCUAUCUUCUCGAGUUAGGGGCAAGGGGCAAGGUUGCGUACACAUUAUCCUUCCCACAUAUUGCUUGUAGGUUUACACUGGGUUUGUUGUUGUUGUUGCUGAUUAGUAGGUAUUUUAUUUAAUCGUGCUUUUCACUCUUCCGUUGUCUUAGAAAAUCGAUAAUAUCUCAUAAUCCAUGCGAAUCUAAUGAAAAAUAGGAUAUAAUGAAAGAAAAAGAUCUAUAUAGUCAAUACUAAUUAGUUGGGAUUAAUACAUUUAGGGGUAGUUUGGUUAUGAGGAUGGGAUAGACAAGGAGAUAUAUCUCUUGGUUGGGAUGUCCCAUGGUAUAACUAUCCCACCUUCUAUAUUGGAUAACUUAUCCCGCCAUUUUGGUAUAAAAUAGUUUCCGUGACUAAUUAAUAUCCAUAACCGAACAUAUGGGAUAAAAUAAUCCCGCAUUUUAUCCGGGAUUGUUAUUCCUUAUUCUACCAACCAAACAACCCUUUAGUUUCUUGAUUUGUGGGUGUCAUGCAUCCUUGUGCAUAAACCAUGUUAAUCUUCUCCGUAUCAUUCCAAUUUUAUUGGAUGUUCUUGAAUCUCGAAAGGACAAUAUGUUUAGUUUGGGUUCAAUAUUUUCUUGAGUCUUUAGUCAGAUGUAUAUACCAAUAGAAAAUAUGAGAACUUCUACUACUACUUAACUUCUAAUAUUGGACUUAGGUUAACUUAAAUAAAGCGACAUGAAUUCAUCUAGUCUAUCCAUUGUUUGGGAUUGAGGCAUUGUUGUUGUUGUGCUAUAUGUUUUUCUUUCUUCUCAAACUCCUGCAAUUGGUGAAGUUUUGAUAAAGAGUGGCUUUAUACCACUAGCUUGCAUGUUUGUGCUCUUUCUAUUCCUUUCUGAGAUGUAUAUAUAGAGUUCUUAUUUUCAGUUAGUUCAGCCCUAGUUUAUUAUUAGGUGAGUGGAUAUGUUUGACACAACUGCAGACUUUAGGUUACUUGAAUAGAUUUAAGUUAUAUACGCUUACAGUGUAGAGUUACACUACUGUUAGAGUAGUUUAGUGUAUUAUAGCAUGUUAGCAGUUAUCGAUCAACUAAUGCUAUCAUAUAAAAUGAUAUGUAGUUACAUUAUAAGUGACCUAAUUGUGUAAAUAUUUUCUGCACCACUACAUAGCGGACUUGUAUUCCUUCUUGAAUAUGUUACAAGUAUAAAAGGUCUAAAGGAGACUGGUAACUUUUGCAUGUGUUAUUAAGUACAUGUUGCUCCAUCACCUUUCCAAAAUUGUAUAAUGAAAGUAAUUUUUCACAUUUCUUUCAAGUUAUUGUGUGGCUUCAUCAUCUAGUUUGUAUGUUGAACAAGUAUAUAUAGAUACUCCAUGUAGACUUCCAAAAGUAUUUAGCAGAUUAUGGUCUUGCUGAAGUGAGUAAUUUAUGAGUCUCGUUUUGUCUGAACUUUAACUGACAACCAUGUGUCUGAAAUUUGGUAUUGGGAGUCUAUAUAUGUUGCUCGGACUCUGCAAAAAUAUUGUUGCCAUAUGCUCGUCGGAUCCUCCAAAAGUAGUGCAUUUUUGGAGGAUCCGACACGGGUACAACAACAGUUUAAGAGAGUCCACACAACAUAGAUUGGGACAACAUCUCUAGAAUUUAGUAUCUUCAUCUUUGUGUCUCUUUACUGGUAUAUUUUAUUUGUUUGUUUUAGUAGUAAUUGACUAUUAGCUGUGACUAUUGAGAGGGGUAAAUGGUGUUACUGUAGCUUGUGAUAGUAAAGUCGUUUUUAAUUCACUACCAAUCUAUUGGAGUAUUUGUUAGAUAUACGCAUAUUUUGAGGACUUGAUGCAAUUUCUGUAGCAUCUUGGUGGAGGAAAUAGUGCUUGAACUCUAUAUUUGGACAUGGUAUGUUGUAACAACAACAAACCCAGUGUAAUCCCACAAGUGGGGUCUGAGGAAUGUAGUGUGUACGCAGAUCUACCUUUAAGAACACUAUAUUUGGACGUGGUGUGAUGGUACAUCUAUAAAUUCCUAGUUGGGAAGUCGUUUAUGCCUAACUCAAUUUUCUUUAAUUUGACUGAGAAUUAACAACUUUGAGAGCUAGCAAUGAUUUCUUGCAACAAAAUUAAGGAAUUAAAAACAUUUCGAACAUGGGAAGCAGUUCCAGUCGAAGUGGAAUAUUUGUUAUACGUGUGAGUGUUAGAGGCCGUGAAUUCGAAUGUCCUUUAGUACACGAUUACUAUUGCGAUCUUUGCUAGUUGGACUUGGAUACGUAUUCUCACUAGGUUAGCAAGAAUUUUUGUAUUGCCAGAAAAAAUGUUGAAGUUCAUUAUAAUGAUAUAAUUUUCCUCUAUUGUUAUUGGUCAGAGACGAUUUAUAUAGCCGACCCUCCAACUUGUUUUGGACUAGAGGCGUUGUUGUUGUUUUAGGUAGUUGUUCUCUCGGCCCUAAUGUUAUUGGUAACCAAGCAACUCUAGCUAAUAUCUCUCCGCUCUAGCUAGUCAUACUUCCAGAAACGUCUCUUUGAUGUACAAGAGUACGAUGCUUGAUAGCAUGAUGAUUCAUUUAGGGGUCGUUUGGUUGGGAAACAAGUUAUACCGGGAUUGUUAUUCCACUCUCCCAUUGGGAAAAAAUAACACUGCAUUCCCGAGAUAAAUAAUCUCGGGAUUAGUUAUACCAUAAUUUUAUCCCAACCAAACGUGGGAUAAACUCGUUUCAAGUUUAAUCCCCAGAUUAAUCCCUUAUUCCUCGUACCAAACAAGCCUUUAGUUUCUUAAUUUCACUUAGGUGAAUCUGAUGAGAUGAUAAAUAUCUGACCGCUUGUUGUCAAGACCAGUAUAACAUUGAUGUGACUUGCAAUUUUUUGUGUAAAUUGUUCUGUUAAUCUGACAAUCAAUUAAACUUCACCCCUGGAAAGCUAGUUGGUGCAUCUAUACAAAUCUUGGAUAUUGUUAAGAAAAUAGACCUUGGGUCUAAUAUUUUAACCCCAAAAGUUAGCUCAUGAUUUACCCAAUUAGAUCAUAUAAGGAGACAACAUCGAUUCCGUCAACCGAUGUGGGAUGCUAUAAGCCUAUAACAUCCCUUUGCACGACCAGGCAUGGAUAAUUAGAGCACGGUUAUAAUAUAGGACACAAACAUUAGGGUGUCCACGAAUCAUCCUGGCAUUCACGCAAGGUCUGGGAAGGGCCGCACCCUAAGGGUGUGAUAUAUACAUCCUACCCUAAUGCAAGCAUCAAUGGCUGAUUUCACGGCUCGAAGACAACUGUAUCAUUGCUUCAAGGUUCCCCUUCGAGCUAAAUAAAUAAUUUCUCUCAGUUCGGGGGGAGGCACGAGGAGGGAGAGUUACUUUUUAGUGAGAUUUUGGACCUGAGUGAAGAGGAUAGUGUUUUAAUUUACUAACUUCAACUGUUGGAUUCCAAGAUUUUCUUCUCCAGUUGUUUCUAUUCUUUUUUUCUUUUUCUUGUUCUAAAUUAUGCUACUUUUUAAUUACUGCUAUAGGAAACUGUUGGUUACCCAUUUCCUUGGCUGAGCUUGGAUUGUUCUUGAAGCUGAGAUGUUAGCUUCAGUUGAGAUAAAACUACUCCUGAGUCCGACUGAGUGUAAAGUAAUGGUCAAUGACCCAAGGUUUUUUUACAUGCUGAUAAUCAUUAUCCCCUAUCUCCGGGUUGACGCCACGGAAGGGGAGCCUUGGCGUAGCUGUUAAAGUUGCUGCCAUGUGACUAGGAGGUCACGGGUUCAAGCGGUGGAAACAGCCUCUUGCAGAAAUGUAGGGUAAGGCCCCUUCCUUGGCGUAACUGUUAAAGUUGUUGUCAUGUGACCAGGAGGUUACGGGUUCAAGCGGUGGAAUCAGCCUCUUGCAGAAGUGCAGGGUAAGGCUGCGUACAAUAGAUCCUUGUGGUCCGACCCUUCCUCGAAUCCCGCGCAGUAUUCCGAGCUGCCUUUCUCCGGGUUGAGGACAUUCAUUGGCUGCGGUGGCAGUUACAUGAAAUAACUAGAAUGAUAGCAGAAUGGCUUAAUGAAACCGCUAAGACCUUUACGAUUAGUGUCUUAUAAGUAGUAAAUUUAACUUUCCUCCCUUCGAGUUUUCAACUACUUCCGAUUGUGAAAAUAAAAAGCAAAAAUAGUAUUAUAUUCAUCGGAUCGAUCCUGUUGGUAACUCUAAAUUUAAUCUUUGUUUGUGUAAAUGUGUUAAUUCUUGUCU